rnacentral:rRNA from 1 species
AUUGAACGCUGGCGGCAGGCUUAACACAUGCAAGUCGAGCGGAGCGAGGGUGAUUGCACCUUAGCUUAGCGGCGGACGGGUGAAUAAUGCUUAGGAAUCUGCCUAUUAGUGGGGGACAACAUUCCGAAAGGGAUGCUAAUACCGCAUACGCCCUACGGGGGAAAGCAGGGGAUCUUCGGACCUUGCGCUAAUAGAUGAGCCUAAGUCGGAUUAGCUAGUUGGUGGGGUAAAGGCCUACCAAGGCGACGAUCUGUAGCGGGUCUGAGAGGAUGAUCCGCCACACUGGGACUGAGACACGGCCCAGACCCCUACGGGAGGCAGCAGUGGGGAAUAUUGGACAAUGGGCGGAAGCCUGAUCCAGCCAUGCCGCGUGUGUGAAGAAGGCCUUUUGGUUGUAAAGCACUUUAAGCGAGGAGGAGGCUACUAGUAUUAAUACUACUGGAUAGUGGACGUUACUCGCAGAAUAAGCACCGGCUAACUCUGUGCCAGCCGCCGCAGUAAUAC